rnacentral:rRNA from 1 species
CCAGUGUGAUUCGUCACACUAUCAUUAACUGAAUCCAUAGGUUAAUGAGGCGAACCGGGGGAACUGAAACAUCUAAGUACCCCGAGGAAAAGAAAUCAACCGAGAUUCCCCCAGUAGCGGCGAGCGAACGGGGAGCAGCCCAGAGCCUGAAUCAGUGUGUGUGUUAGUGGAAGCGUCUGGAAAGGCGCGCGAUACAGGGUGACAGCCCCGUACACAAAAAUGCACAUGCUGUGAGCUCGAUGAGUAGGGCGGGACACGUGGUAUCCUGUCUGAAUAUGGGGGGACCAUCCUCCAAGGCUAAAUACUCCUGACUGACCGAUAGUGAACCAGUACCGUGAGGGAAAGGCGAAAAGAACCCCGGCGAGGGGAGUGAAAAAGAACCUGAAACCGUGUACGUACAAGCAGUGGGAGCACGCUUAGGCGUGUGACUGCGUACCUUUUGUAUAAUGGGUCAGCGACUUAUAUUCUGUAGCAAGGUUAACCGAAUAGGGGAGCCGAAGGGAAACCGAGUCUUAACUGGGCGUUAAGUUGCAGGGUAUAGACCCGAAACCCGGUGAUCUAGCCAUGGGCAGGUUGAAGGUUGGGUAACACUAACUGGAGGACCGAACCGACUAAUGUUGAAAAAUUAGCGGAUGACUUGUGGCUGGGGGUGAAAGGCCAAUCAAACCGGGAGAUAGCUGGUUCUCCCCGAAAGCUAUUUAGGUAGCGCCUCGUGAAUUCAUCUCCGGGGGUAGAGCACUGUUUCGGCAAGGGGGUCAUCCCGACUUACCAACCCGAUGCAAACUGCGAAUACCGGAGAAUGUUAUCACGGGAGACACACGGCGGGUGCUAACGUCCGUCGUGAAGAGGGAAACAACCCAGACCGCCAGCUAAGGUCCCAAAGUCAUGGUUAAGUGGGAAACGAUGUGGGAAGGCCCAGACAGCCAGGAUGUUGGCUUAGAAGCAGCCAUCAUUUAAAGAAAGCGUAAUAGCUCACUGGUCGAGUCGGCCUGCGCGGAAGAUGUAACGGGGCUAAACCAUGCACCGAAGCUGCGGCAGCGACGCUGAUGCGUUGUUGGGUAGGGGAGCGUUCUGUAAGCCUGUGAAGGUGUGCUGUGAGGCAUGCUGGAGGUAUCAGAAGUGCGAAUGCUGACAUAAGUAACGAUAAAGCGGGUGAAAAGCCCGCUCGCCGGAAGACCAAGGGUUCCUGUCCAACGUUAAUCGGGGCAGGGUGAGUCGACCCCUAAGGCGAGGCCGAAAGGCGUAGUCGAUGGGAAACAGGUUAAUAUUCCUGUACUUGGUGUUACUGCGAAGGGGGGACGGAGAAGGCUAUGUUGGCCGGGCGACGGUUGUCCCGGUUUAAGCGUGUAGGCUGGUUUUCCAGGCAAAUCCGGAAAAUCAAGGCUGAGGCGUGAUGACGAGGCACUACGGUGCUGAAGCAACAAAUGCCCUGCUUCCAGGAAAAGCCUCUAAGCAUCAGGUAACAUCAAAUCGUACCCCAAACCGACACAGGUGGUCAGGUAGAGAAUACCAAGGCGCUUGAGAGAACUCGGGUGAAGGAACUAGGCAAAAUGGUGCCGUAACUUCGGGAGAAGGCACGCUGAUAUGUAGGUGAAGUCCCUCGCGGAUGGAGCUGAAAUCAGUCGAAGAUACCAGCUGGCUGCAACUGUUUAUUAAAAACACAGCACUGUGCAAACACGAAAGUGGACGUAUACGGUGUGACGCCUGCCCGGUGCCGGAAGGUUAAUUGAUGGGGUUAGCGCAAGCGAAGCUCUUGAUCGAAGCCCCGGUAAACGGCGGCCGUAACUAUAACGGUCCUAAGGUAGCGAAAUUCCUUGUCGGGUAAGUUCCGACCUGCACGAAUGGCGUAAUGAUGGCCAGGCUGUCUCCACCCGAGACUCAGUGAAAUUGAACUCGCUGUGAAGAUGCAGUGUACCCGCGGCAAGACGGAAAGACCCCGUGAACCUUUACUAUAGCUUGACACUGAACAUUGAGCCUUGAUGUGUAGGAUAGGUGGGAGGCUUUGAAGUGUGGACGCCAGUCUGCAUGGAGCCGACCUUGAAAUACCACCCUUUAAUGUUUGAUGUUCUAACGUGGACCCGUAAUCCGGGUUGCGGACAGUGUCUGGUGGGUAGUUUGACUGGGGCGGUCUCCUCCUAAAGAGUAACGGAGGAGCACGAAGGUUGGCUAAUCCUGGUCGGACAUCAGGAGGUUAGUGCAAUGGCAUAAGCCAGCUUGACUGCGAGCGUGACGGCGCGAGCAGGUGCGAAAGCAGGUCAUAGUGAUCCGGUGGUUCUGAAUGGAAGGGCCAUCGCUCAACGGAUAAAAGGUACUCCGGGGAUAACAGGCUGAUACCGCCCAAGAGUUCAUAUCGACGGCGGUGUUUGGCACCUCGAUGUCGGCUCAUCACAUCCUGGGGCUGAAGUAGGUCCCAAGGGUAUGGCUGUUCGCCAUUUAAAGUGGUACGCGAGCUGGGUUUAGAACGUCGUGAGACAGUUCGGUCCCUAUCUGCCGUGGGCGCUGGAGAACUGAGGGGGGCUGCUCCUAGUACGAGAGGACCGGAGUGGACGCAUCACUGGUGUUCGGGUUGUCAUGCCAAUGGCACUGCCCGGUAGCUAAAUGCGGAAGAGAUAAGUGCUGAAAGCAUCUAAGCACGAAACUUGCCCCGAGAUGAGUUCUCCCUGACUCCUUGAGAGUCCUGAAGGAACGUUGAAGACGACGACGUUGAUAGGCCGGGUGUGUAAGCGCAGCGAUGCGUUGAGCUAACCGGUACUAAUGAACCGUGAGGCUUAACCUU